rnacentral:rRNA from 1 species
UUACUUGGAUACCUGUGGUAAUUCUAGAGCUAAUACAUG